rnacentral:lncRNA from 1 species
AAAUGGGAGGAUAACUUUGCACAUUCUGAAUCACUCCUCCAGCAACUUUUCCAUCAUGUUUACCCAGAUUUUCAAGCGCGGCAACCGAAUUGGACCUUACUGUUAUUGUUGUAGGCUUGUUUGCAAUCUGUUUAUUUUUGUUCUGGGUAUCUUCAUUUCUGUUGGUCCUCGAUGAUUCACUGUUCCUUGCAUUUUGUUGUCUAGUAUCCUUUGUAAGUUGC